rnacentral:rRNA from 1 species
GACGAACGCUGGCGGCGUGCUUAACACAUGCAAGUCGAGCGGUAAGGCCCUUUCGGGGGUACACGAGCGGCGAACGGGUGAGUAACACGUGGGUGACCUGCCCUGGGGACCGGGACAACUCUUGGAAACGGGAGCUAAUACCGGAUGUGACCACGAUGCUUGAGGGCAUUGGGGUAAAAGGGUGGCCUGCAAGGGCUAUUGCCUUGGGAUGAGUUCACGACCCAUCAGGUAGUUGGGGG